CAUACCAUUUGCAAAAGAAGACAACCCAAGGUAUUGCAAAUGUUCAGUCUUUUGUAGUAGCCACUUAGUCACAAGCACUAGCCAAAGUUAGCGUUCAUAAUGUUUUUUGCAUUUUUAACACAAAAACAAAUGAAUGCUAACUUUGGCCAGUGUUUGUGACUAAGUGGCUACUAAAAAAAGACUGGAAAUGCUCUAUAUUCAAUACCCUGGGUUGUCUACUCAAAAAAAAUAUAUGGUUUG